rnacentral:rRNA from 1 species
ACGGGUGAGUAACGCGUAGGUAACCUGCCUGGUAGCGGGGGAUAACUAUUGGAAACGAUAGCUAAUACCGCAUAAAAUUGAUUAUUGCAUGAUAAUUAAUUGAAAGAUGCAAUUGCAUCACUACCAGAUGGACCUGCGUUGUAUUAGCUAGUUGGUGAGGUAACGGCUCACCAAGGCGACGAUACAUAGCCGGCCUGAGAGGGUGGACGGCCACAUUGGGACUGAGAUACGGCCCAGACUCCUACGGGAGGCAGCAGUAGGGAAUCUUCGGCAAUGGGGGCAACCCUGACCGAGCAACACCGCGUGAGUGAAGAAGGUUUUCGGAUCGUAAAGCUCUGUUGUAAGUCAAGAACGAGUGUGAGAGUGGAAAGUUCACACUGUGACGGUAGCUUACCAGAAAGGGACGGCUAACUACGUGCCAGCAGCCGCGGUAAUACGUAGGUGGCGAGCGUUGUCCGGAAUCAUUGGGCGUAAAGGGAGCGCAGGCGGGCAUGUAAGUCUUUCUUAAAAGUGCGGGGCUCAACCCCGUGAUGGGAAAGAAACUAUGUGUCUUGAGUACAGGAGAGGAAAGCGGAAUUCCCAGUGUAGCGGUGAAAUGCGUAGAUAUUGGGAGGAACACCAGUGGCGAAGGCGGCUUUCUGGACUGCAACUGACGCUGAGGCUCGAAAGCCAGGGGAGCGAACGGGAUUAGAUACCCC